rnacentral:misc_RNA from 1 species
GAUGAAGAACGCAGCGAAAUGCGAUAAGUAGUGUGAAUUGCAGAAAUCAGUGAAUCAUCGAAUCUUUGAACGCACAUUGCGCCCCUUGGUAUCCCGAGGGGCAUGCCUGUUCGAGCGUCAUUUCACCACUCAAGCCUGGCUUGGUGUUGGGCGACGUCCUCUUUGGGGACGCGCCUCGAAACGCUCGGCGGCGUGGCACCGGCUUUAAGCGUAGCAGAAUCUUUCGCUUUGGAAGUCGGGGCCCCGUCUGCCGGAAGACCUGCUCGCAAGGUUGACCUCGGAUCAGGCAGGGAUACCCGCUGAACUUAAGCAUAUCAAUAAGCGGAGGA